rnacentral:tRNA from 1 species
UCCCCACUGGCUCAGCGGUAGAGAAUCUGCCUGCAAUUCAGGAGAUGUAGGUUUGAUCCCUGGGUCGGGAA